UUCCACGUAUUCUUCCUUCAUUCGUCCCUCCUCUCUCAAUCCCAACAAUAAUUAACAAUCUUGAUAUCCCGUUGAAGCUACGACUACUCGAAUUGAAGUCGAACCUCCAACAUCAUCUUCACCCACCGAAAAGCUCCGGCUCUCGCUCGCCACUCCGGCUCUCCCUUCAUUUGGCUUUUCUAUCUUAAUUCCAACUAUAAUAAAUGAUCUUGACAUCCUAGUGAAGCUCCGACUACUCAAAAUCAAACCUCCAACAUCAUCUUUAUCCACUGAGUGUUCAAAGGGACUCGAUGAAAGCCGCAUCAAUAUGUUAAUCGGAAGAGUAAACAGUCUCCAAUUCCUUCUCCUCUGACACCUAGGAAAUUGCAUGACACCUGCUAUUGUGGUCAUGAUUGAAAAGGAUGUAAGCGGCUGCUUUUACUGAGGAGAGCAUCACAAAAUAUAGGCAGAAAUUACAACUUCGUCUCUCCUUCAUCAUGGAGCCUCCAACCAUUGGGAAAUGCCCCUCACAGGUGGCUUGUCACUAGAGGAGACAUAUUAGAACCAUUGUGUGUGUUCUAUUCUCCAUCUCUUCGCCUUGCCAUCUCCUUAUUGAGCACUCUCAAUUGAAGCUUUGCCAUAUCAUUUUUCCCAUGAUGUUCUAUUAUUGUACAUCUCUUUAUUCCUCAAGCCAUUACAACUACAAGUUUGUUAGAGCCUUCAUGCUUUGAGGUGUUGCUUUGCUAAUGUCGUUUCCUUGUUAAAUAAAUUCUCAAUAAAGGAAACCUGCCGAAGCAACCAAGCAACCAACCCUAAGGUAGGAGGGCACAUUGGGUUGGCAAGGACAACAAUGGGAUUUUAUCUUUUUAUUUAUUUAUUUUUGUUUCUAUGCAUUUUCCGGUGAUGAAUCUUCUUGAGUAUGAUGUAUUGUGAAUUUUGGAUUGUUCUAGUUGUUAGGAUGUCUUAUUCCCAAAAUUGGAAAUUUAGGUUUUUUUGA